GACAGAGGGUGCAAACGUUGUCCGGAAUCAUUGGGCGUAAAGCGCGCGUAGGCGGCCCUGUAAGUCCGUUGUGAAAGUCAAAGGCUCAACCUUUGAAAGCCGAUGGAUACUGCAGGGCUAGAGUCCGGAAGAGGCGAGUGGAAUUCCUGGUGUAGCGGUGGAAUGCGCAGAUAUCAGGAGGAACACCAAUAGCGAAGGCAGCUCGCUGGGACGGUACUGACACUAAGGCGCGAAAGCGUGGGGAGCGAACAGG
rnacentral:rRNA from 1 species